GAUGAACGCUGGCGGCGUGCCUAAUACAUGCAAGUCGAGCGAACGGACGAGAAGCUUGCUUCUCUGAUGUUAGCGGCGGACGGGUGAGUAACACGUGGAUAACCUACCUAUAAGACUGUGAUAACUUCGGGAAACCGGAGCUAAUACCGGAUGAUAUUUUGAACCGCAUGGUUCAAAAGUGAAAGACGGUCUUGCUGUCACUUAUAGAUGGAUCCGCGCUGCAUUAGCUAGUUGGUAAGGUAACGGCUUACCAAGGCAACGAUGCAUAGCCGACCUGAGAGGGUGAUCGGCCACACUGGAACUGAGACACGGUCCAGACUCCUACGGGAGGCAGCAGUAGGGAAUCUUCGGCAAUGGGCGAAAGCCUGACGGAGCAACGCCGCGUGAGUGAUGAAGGUCUUCGGAUCGUAAAACUCUGUUAUUAGGGAAGAACAUAUGUGUAAGUAACUGUGCACAUCUUGACGGUACCUAAUCAGAAAGCCACGGCUAACUACGUG
rnacentral:rRNA from 1 species